CAGUCGCCGCGGGAAAACGAAGGGUGCAAGCGUUACUCGGAAUUACUGGGCGUAAAGCGUGCGUAGGUGGUGGUUUAAGUCCGUUGUGAAAGCCCUGGGCUCAACCUGGGAAUUGCAGUGGAUACUGGGUCACUAGAGUGUGGUAGAGGAUAGUGGAAUUUCCGGUGUAGCAGUGAAAUGCGUAGAGAUCGGAAGGAACAUCUGUGGCGAAGGCGACUAUCUGGGCCAACACUGACACUGAGGCACGAAAGCGUGGGGAGCAAACAGGAUUAGAGACCCCUGUAGUCCCUGUCUCUUAUAC
rnacentral:rRNA from 1 species